CUACGGGUGGCUCCAGUAAGGAAUAUUGCGCAAUGGAGGCAACUCUGACGCAGCCAUGCCGCGUGCAGGAAGAAGGCCUUAUGGGUCGUAAACUGCUUUUAUUUAGGAAUAAACCCCCGAACGUGCUCGGGGCUGAAGGUACUAAACGAAUAAGCACCGGCUAACUCCGUGCCAGCAGCCGCGGUAAUACGGAGGGUGCAAGCGUUAUCCGGAUUUAUUGGGUUUAAAGGGUGCGCAGGCGGGCUAUUAAGUCAGUGGUGAAAUCCCGGGGCUCAACUCCGGAACUGCCAUUGAUACUGAUAGUCUUGAGUUUGGUUGAAGUGGGCGGAAUGUAGCAUGUAGCGGUGAAAUGCAUAGAUAUGCUACAGAACACCAAUCGCGAAGGCAGCUCACUAAGCCAAAACUGACGCUCAUGCACGAAAGCGUGGGGAUCAAACAGGAUUAGAUACCCGGGUAGUC
rnacentral:rRNA from 1 species